GAAGAAUGUCUGUCGAGACUUCGCAGCGGUUGUCACGGGCUCAAUGGGAGUUCCGGGUCGUGACAAUAAAUAUAAUUCCAUCAUAAGACCAUAAGCAUUCAACCAUUGUUUAUAGCUCAGCAUAAAACAUUCUCUCAUAAACCAUACCAUAAAAUAAACCAAAAUAGAAAUAGUAAAAGCAUAACUGAGUUUGUCUUUCCUAUCUUUCCUACCGACUUUGCUUCUUGCUCCUAUUUACCUACCUUUUUACUUUUCUCCCCUUUUUUGUCAUCAUGUAAAAGAAGGUGUUUAUCUGAGUCUAAAGAGGGUGAAGAUUCAUCAAUGCCAAAAUGCACUUUAAGGGGUUUAAGAGAGAAGCUAGAUGAAAAGUCAAAUGAUGAAGAUGAAGAAAAAGAGAUGGAUGAGAUGGUUUGGGGGCCUGUAAGCUUAAAAGACUAUUGAGUGGAGGUCAAAGCUAGUCCAAAGGAUUUUCUUCUUCUGAAGACCUUGGUUUUAGUGGCCAUUGUUUUUCUCCGCCUUCCUUCAAUUUUCUUUGCAACAGGAGCAGUAGCAACUACUUUACCCUUGUCCUGAUUUUCUUCCCCUACAGCUUGUGUUGUCCCUUGUGGAGUUUAGUGAACUUUCUGUUGCAUCUUUGCUUGUUGUUGUGCCUGGUCAGCCUUAACUUCUUUGAGAAUGUUUCUAAUAAAGUUAGAGACUAAGAUCUUUUCAGAUUUUCCAGGAGAACUUGCACCACUUUUUCUAGCAGUUAUGUGUUCUUUUUCACCUUGAGGUUCCUUCUCCACUUCUUUUUCCUGUUCAGGUUCUUUUUAGCUACUUCAUCUUGCUUUUCUUUCCAAUUUCUUGGCCUUGUUUUACUUCAAGGGUUAUUGUAGCAGUUUGCUCUUUUAUAAUUUCUUCUUCAUGUUCAGAUAUGUGUGGAUCAAACUGCUCAAUAGCAGUUUUUUCACUACACAUGCUUGUAGCAGUGGGUGGAGAUUCAAGAAGCUUGUUCAGUUAACUUCCUAUCAAUCCUCAUGAAGAGAUUAAACAUCAUUUCAGCUUAAGGAGGAGGUUGGUUGACUUCGGUGUAUGGUGUUGAAGGACUUUCGGUUGUAAGGGGAAGUGGUAUACUUCUUGUAGUUUUGAUGCAUUCAUUCCUCUGUAGUUUGUAACCUAUCUUUAGAGCACUUACCAAAAAUAUCCCUUGAUCCUUGUUUCUUGUUAGAUCAGCUUGGAACCUUAUGCUCUAAAUUCCUUUCUUUUUCACCAGAUUGUAAUAAUGUUGCCAUAUGGCAAGUUGGUUUUA